AGCCUGAACUUUGUUGUUUGUCGCCCCCUAGCUGUGAGAUGCAGUACAGUGAGACUGCUGACAGCACGAUCGACUGCACCAGUGUGACUGAACGCUGUAAUCUCCUGAAGGAGGCGCCCUUCUCCUCCUGUAACACUGACAUUGACCCAGAGCCCUACAUAACCGCCUGCACCGACACUUUGUGUAAAUAUCCUGCAGUGGACGGACUCAACUGUCAGUUCCUGAAGGCCUACGCCAGAGCCUGCAGUC